rnacentral:rRNA from 1 species
AACGAACGCUGGCGGCGUGGAUAAGACGUGCAAGUCGAACGGGAUUUUUUUCUGUAGCAAUACAGAGAAAAGUCUAGUGGCGAACGGGUGCGUAACACGUGAGCAACCUGCCGUGAAGUGGGGGAUAGCUCGCCGAAAGGCGAAUUAAUACCGCAUGUGGCCAAGGAAGACAUCUUCCUGACGCCAAAGCCGGGGCAACCUGGCGCUUCUCGAGGGGCUCGCGGCCUAUCAGCUUGUUGGUGAGGUAACGGCUCACCAAGGCUAUGACGGGUAGCUGGUAUGAGAGGAAGACCAGCCACACUGGAACUGAGACACGGUCCAGACACCUACGGGUGGCAGCAGUCGAGAAUUUUUCACAAUGGGGGAAACCCUGAUGGAGCGACGCCGCGUGGAGGAUGAAGGUUUUCGGAUUGUAAACUCCUGUCAUUAGAGAACAAGGCACACGGUUUAACUGGCCGUGUGUUGAUAGUAUCUGAAGAGGAAGAGACGGCUAACUCUGUGCCAGCCGCCGGGGUAA